rnacentral:rRNA from 1 species
CAGCAGUAGGGAAUUUUUCACAAUGGGCGCAAGCCUUAUGAAGCAAUGCCGCGUGAACGAUGAAGGUCUUAUAGAUUGCAAAGUUCUUUUAUAUGGGAAGAAACGCUAAAUAGGAAAUGAUUUUAGUUUGACUGUACCAUUUGAAUAAGUAUCGGCUAACUAUGUGCCAGCAGCCGCGGUAAUACAUAGGAUGCAAGCGUUAUCCGGAUUUACUGGGCGUAAAACGAGCGCAGGCGGGUUUGUAAGUUUGGUAUUAAAUCUAGAUGCUUAACGUCUAGCUGUAUCAAAAACUGUAAACCUAGAGUGUAGUAGGGAGUUGGGGAACUCCAUGUGGAGCGGUAAAAUGCGUAGAUAUAUGGAAGAACACCGGUGGCGAAGGCGCCAACUUGGACUAUCACUGACGCUUAGGCUCGAAAGUGUGGGGAGCAAAUAGGAUUAGAUACCCUAGUAGUCCACACCGUAAACGAUCAUCAUUAAAUGUCGGCCCGAAUGGGUCGGUGUUGUAGCUAACGCAUUAAAUGAUGUGCCUGGGUAGUACAUUCGCAAGAAUGAAACUCAAACGGAAUUGACGGGGACCCGCACAAGUGGUGGAGCAUGUUGCUUUACUCCUCCAUACACGUAGAACCUUACCUAGGUUUGACAUCUAUUGCGAUGCUAUAGAAAUAUAGUUGAGGUUAACAGAGUG